rnacentral:tRNA from 2 species
AUCGUCUCGGUCGGCGGCGACGCGUUGCCGCCCUGAUGGGGCGGCGGCGGCGCGCCCGUCGUGCCAUACGUGUUCGGUUGCGUGCAGGCGCUC